GCCGAGCUGGCGGAAUGGCAGACGCGCAGGUCUCAAAAACCUGUGGGGUUUACCCCCGUAUCGGUUCAAGUCCGAUGCUCGGCA
rnacentral:tRNA from 1 species